AUAGCUUUUUUUCCAGUCCCACACUGGGGCUAGGCAGUAAAUACUCUGCUAUUGCUGACCGUGGCGGAGGAGACAGGUUCUGAGCAGCGAGGGAGGUGUUGGCAGCCUUGCACCUUAUGAGCCUGCCUACUUUGAAGGAAUUCAGACUGACCUGAAUUCCCUUGGGAAAGCCCUGUCUUCCUCAGAGGGCAUGAGGAGGAACAGGCAACUCACAGAGCAUGACUCAUACGUGCAGUGGGACAAAUCUCUUGCUGGAAGUGCCCACCUCACCACCAUGGAGCAUAGUGGGAGCCUGGGUGGUUUGGCUAGCCAUAGCUGCCUACCUUAGAGAAGAUGAGCACUAAAUGGUAUGACCCACCCUGGAGAAUGGACUCACUUUUGAUCCUUUGGAGCCACAGAGGAGGUGCCCAACAACUUAAGGUGGAUAUGCAAUGACAUACAAAUUCUUCCUCUGGCUCCCAGGUUCUAGUGUAACUUCUUGGCUGUUGGCGAUCUCAUUAAAAACACUGACAAAUGCAA